GCAAUGGGGGGAACCCCGACGCAGCGACGCCGCGUGCGGGACGGAGGCCUUCGGGUCGUAAACCGCUUUCAGCACGGAAGAGUCAAGACUGUACCUGCAGAAGAAGCCCCGGCUAACUACGUGCCAGCAGCCGCGGUAAUACGUAGGGGGCGAGCGUUAUCCGGAUUCAUUGGGCGUAAAGCGCGCGUAGGCAGCCCGGCAGGCUGGGGGUCGAAGUGGGGGGCUCAACCCCCCGAAGCCCCCGGAACCUCCGCGGCUUGGGUCCGGUAGGGGAGGGUGGAACACCCGGUGUAGCGGUGGAGUGCGCAGAUAUCGGGUGGAACCCCGGUGGCGAAGGCGGCCCUUUGGGCCGAGACCGACGGUGAGGCGCGAAAGCUGGGGGAGCCAAAAAGAUUAGAUAUCCCUGGUAGUCUCCAGCCGUAAACCCCUAUAAUGAGGUGUGGGGGGACGAUCCCCCCGUGCCGCACCCAACGCAUUAAGAGUCCCGCCUGGGGAGUACGGCCGCAAGGCUAAAACUCAAAGGAAUAGACGGGGGGCCGCACAAGCAGCGGAGCAUGUGGUUUAAUUUGAAGCAACGCGAAGAACCUUACCAGGGCUUGACAUAUGGGUGAAGCGGGGGAGACCCCGUGGCCGCGAGGAGCCCCUCCUGGUGGUGCGUGGCUGUCGUCUGCUCGUGUCGUGGGGUGUUGGGUUGCGUCCCGCCCCGCGCGCCGCCCCCGCCGCGUGUUGCCUUCGGGUGGUGCCGGGGGCCCCCGCGGGGCCGCCGCCGUCUCGGCGGGGGGGGGCGGGGGGGGCGUCCCGUCUUCUUGCCCCUUCUGCCCUGGGCUGCGCCCGUGCUGCUCUGGCCGGUGCGGCGGGGUGCCCCCCCCCGCGGGGGGGCGGGUCCCGGCUAGCCGGCCCCCCUUCGGAUUGGGGGGUGCGCCCCGCCCCCCCG
rnacentral:rRNA from 1 species